rnacentral:rRNA from 1 species
UACGGGGGGGGCAAGCGUUGUUCGGAAUUACUGGGCGUAAAGGGCUCGUAGGCGGCUUUGUAAGUUAGAGGUGAAAGCCCGGGGGCUCAACCCCGGAAUUGCCUUUAAGACUGCAUCGCUUGAAUCCGGGAGAGGUGAGUGGAAUUCCGAGUGUAGAGGUGAAAUUCGUAGAUAUUCGGAAGAACACCAGUGGCGAAGGCGGCUCACUGGACCGGCAUUGACGCUGAGGUGCGAAAGCGUGGGGAGCAAACAGG